rnacentral:rRNA from 1 species
CCCUUAGACGUUCUGGGCCGCACGCGCGCUACACUGACCGGUGCAACAAGCAUCCGUCCUUGGCCGACAGGCCCGGGCAAUCUUUGAACGCCGGUCGUGAUGGGGAUAGACUUUUGCAAUUUUUGGUCUUCAACGAGGAAUUCCUAGUAAACGCAAGUCAUCAACUUGCAUUGAUUACGUCCCUGCCCUUUGUACACACCGCCUGUCGCACCUACCGAUUGAAUGGUCCGGUGAAGCCUCCGGAUUGGCGCGCACCUCGGUGCCGCCGAGAAGUUGGCUAAACCUUACCAUUUAGAGGAAGGUGAAGUCGUAACA